ACAGGCAGCCGUGGGGACCCCCGACGGACCCCCGACGGACCCGGGGAGCCUGCCGUGACGGGCUGGGUGCCUCCCCGGGGCCCCCGACUGACCCUGCUGCUGCCGUCGGGCUACGCUGGGUAGACGUGGCGGCCGAAGUGUUUUCACACCUCCCCAGCUUAAAAGAACCAUCAGGACCCUCUAUGCACCUGGAAAUGCCCAGGGAGAGCCACCAAGGAAGUGUUUUGGGAGCCUCUUCCCUGCAGGAGGCUGCACUUGCUGAGGGCCCCAAGCACAUUGAAUUAUAGCUGUGAGGGCAUAGGGAACACUGCUGUGGAAGAGGAAGACUUACUUUAGAUAAGUAAGUAUGGAAACUUACAUUCAGGUAAGUACAGUUCUUUUGAGGUAAGUAGGGGUUGAAGCUGCCCUCAGCAGGAGAAGAGAACUGAACUCAAGCUGAGAAAGUCCUGGACAAGAGCUUUCUGAUCAAACUGUUUGCCCACAGGCCCAUGCGUGUAACAGGAAGGGAUGCCACCACAACCAUGGCAGAUGACUGUUUUAAAGGCUGGUGGGAGGCACUGCACCACUGGUGGAGCUUGAUGCUGUCACUGUGUCCUGGACUCGCUUUUGGAGCUUCUGAUGGAUGCAGUGUAUGGGCAGAUAAAUGAACAUUGAUCCAUCUUGGGAUUCCAGCUGGACUUAGAAAUGGCUUAGCCUGUUCCAUACCGAGGCACUUCUGGGAGUCAACAUAGUGAACUUUAAAGUAAAAACCUGUGAUGAGCUCAGAUGCGAUUGUAGAUGGCAGGAAAGUGUUUCAGAGCCAUGUUUUUACUUUGCUUUGUAAGCUCUGUUUUAUCCCACUAAUGGUCUGUAUUGGAUCUGGCAUAGAUCUGGCAGACUUGGAGGCUGGAUCUUUCAGUUUACCUAUAAAACCCAUGGUACCUGAGCAGCAGUUUCCCUGCCAAGCUGCACCAUCUUGACCUCAAGGCAGAACUCCCAUUUAGUUCCCGUUACUCAUCUUUGAGGUUUUCUUUCCCAUGAAAAAACUAGCACUUGCCUGUGGGCGGGGAGAAGGAAACCGGCUAGGAAUUAGGAACUGGGUAGAAGUUUCAGUCUGAAAUCACCCAUUCACUUCAUUUUCAAUCCUUAACAGCAAUUACUGUAUCAAGCUUCAGUUUCCUUCAAUGUGGCUGUAAAGCAUCAUCAAUAGGACAUUAAAAGAAGAUCUCCAGACAACUUCUAAGCCAUUUUGCCCCUUGAUGUGAAACAGAUGUUAUGCUAACAAUAUAGCUAAGCUGGAACGCUAUGAAUUUCAUCCAUCUUUUGCUUUGAGAUAGUUGACGUGUUGCCAUUUCUUCCUGACUUAAAACCAGAGGGUUCAACUCUGAUGCUGUAAACUUACACCUAGCAUCUCUUCCAGGAGAAAAAUGUUCUCUUGCUGACAGUGAGUUAAACAGAGGGCAAAUCCAUAUGGAUCAAAGGAAAUUUUAUUAUCUAAGACCAGGCACAGAGGGUAGCAUACUUGUGUUCUCCUCCCAUAAUAGGUACCAGAGAGAUUAAGAAAAAUCAAGAGAACUCUGUUUUCAGUUUCUACAAGCAAUUACAAAACUCUUUUUGAUACCUUGGCAUGGUGACUAGGAGAAGCAGAGAUAACAUACAGGGAACUUCACUCCUGCCAGUGGAUUAGGUCCAAGUCAGUUUUUAAUGCCUGAAAAAUCCUGCUCUUUGGCUUGCAUGUCCCUCUCAGUUCAUCCUGUGAGUAAUCAUGAAUCCUUUCUGAAGAUCUGAGGCAAGAGGGUGUUUUUCCCCGCCCUCCUUGUGGGAUGCUGAAGGGCUGUCAGAUUCCAGGGGGAGGAAACAACAGAUUACUGAAAAGGGUGGGCCUUCAGUAGAUAGCACAGGGCACUAUAUGAAUGCCUGCUGCUGUUAUCAAUAGCUUGUCCAUUGCACCAUUUUUCUGUAACAUUUUUUACUUUGAGAACCGAAGGGUGCUUUACAGCAGGGAGUUUUGUUAUGUCCAUUUUAGGGAUGGGGAAAUGAAGUCAAAAGGAAGCCAGGCAGCAAAGGUUUAGCGGAUUCCAGGUAAGUGUCCAAGGCUCUGACAGCCUUUUGCUCUUGGUGUUAGGCACAACAGCUUCUGCUCAGGCGUAUUCCUGCUUUUGGUAGCAACCUGCAUGUAGCUUGACAUAGAGAAACAAACCUUUAUCCAUUUGCAACUGCUGUAGUUUAGGGCUAUGUUUGCUGGGAAAGCUAGGAUGUUAGAUACCAUCUUGGAAUAGGAAAGAAUGUCAUCUCCCACCUCAUUUUUCUUUCUGAGAUCUACUGUGUCCACAAGCAUUUUUCACAUGCUGUAACUAGAGCCAUGCUUUGGCCUUCACCUUGGAAACCACAGCUGCUGCAAGUAACACACACACUGGGGUGGCUUGCCUGUGGGCAGUACAACGUCCUUCACAUCAGAGAAGAAUCAUAGAAUUGUCAAGGUUCAAAAAGACCUUCAAGAUCAUCAAGUCCAAUCAUCACAUCUCCCGCAGUUCCCACUUAGCAAAAUAAUAAUAAUCCAUUCUCUCCAGAGAAUGGUGUUGUGUACAGCACACUAAAGUAGGCAGUAAAAACAGCAGCAAUGCGGAUAAAGUGAGCUGUGUUCCUCCGUGAGAUGUCUAUAUAAAUGCAGUUUAGAAAGGCAGUCAAAGAGGAUUCACUUAAUAGGGGACACGGAGAACCCCAGGUGAUUGUAUGUAACUUAUUUCUCUCCACAGUCCAACUGCAAUUACAGGUCUCACACCCCCUGCUGGCUUGUCUCCUGCCUUUAAUGAGAUCACUAAGAGAUAAGGCUGUAACUGUAUUAAAAUGAGAAAACAAUAUGUAACUAUGGAGUGAGCAAAGAUCAAGAUCCACUACAGCCAGUCAGGCUUGGCUAACUUUCUUCGUGCACUUUUUUUCCCCUCCCUCUGGCUGACGGAUACAACAUUUUGCAUUUUUGACAGCGCUUUGCAUUUUCCUGAAACCUUUCAACUAAGUCAUUCAAAUGCCGUUUGCAAAAAACAUGACAAAGAGUUCUUAAAGUCCCUUUGAAAAUUAGGCUCCCAUCCUUCGCCACUGCACAUGAAUGGUACUACCUUCAUUCAGAGCCACAACAUUGUGGGUUGCGGAGGCAAAGGGCAGAAAUAUCAGACAUUCCAGUCAUUUUGAGUGCCUCAGCGUUACGCUUACAUAAAAUUCCUAGGCACUUGGUACUUCCGUAGGUGGGAACUUUAGCUGCUCAGCCUUUCUCAAUAGUAAGUUGAAAGUGUGGUGGAGUUGGUUUGUUUUUGUUUUUCUUCUUCUCCAUUUGUUCUUUUCUGCUUUACUGAGGAGGUGGCAGAGGCUUGCCACAGUCGUGCCACAAAUCAGGUCGAAGUCUGGAAUUUAAGAGAGUUGGGGUCCUGUCUAACUGCUCGAUGAAGGGCUUUCAAUGCUGGUUGACAAUGCCCCAAAGAUGACUAGCAGGGGGAUGCUGGGACAGCAAGAAAAGCAAAUCCAUUGACAGUACAUUCAAACACGCCAUUCAAGGAUUUGCACUUCCCCAGGAAAAAAAAAAUAUUUAGUAAUCCACAAAUAAAAUGAUUUAAAACUUGUGCUCUAGGAGUUCGAGACAUUUAAAGCUGUAACCUCCUUGUGAUGCCUUGUUUUUAUAAUGAAAAAAAUACACACCAUAAUCUAUCAUUCCAUUUUUAGUUACUGACACUGUUUUUAAUUCACCCUUCUUUGCCAGUUAGCUAUCUGGGAGAUAAAGCAGCUUUGAAAUCCCCAGACUCCCUGGAACCACGCUUUGUAUCUGUCCAGGGUCUUCUGUGCACUUCACAAUUCCAAAGCAGAUAAACCAAGUGCCACCUAACUCACUGCUUCCCUGCAAAGUUUUGAGCAUUAGUGGCUCUAUGGGCAUAAUUGAAAGAGCGUAUGAUUGAGCUAAAAAUGUCUUAAUGUGCUCUUUGUUUUUCCCUUCCCAUUUGAUAGCUUCCUAUUAGAAAUUUGCAUUAGGAAAAUGUGACGUUUUCAAAGAGAACCGCCACGAGGUCAGGAUGUGCCUAAGUCCAGCCUCUGGUCUUUCCACCUGUCUGCACACACGCUGUGCUGCAGUAUUCAGAUACAACAGGCUGCUGCAUUCAGCAUUUCAGGUGAAAUGCUGCCUGAUAAAUAAGAGGGAGCAACUUUCUGUAGACCAAGGUUUAUCUUCAUCAUUCUGAUCACUGCCAAAUUAAUUUUAUCCACUCCAUUUUGUUCCCCAAAAGGUUUGCCCCAUUAAUACCUAUCCUGUACUUUGUAUUCUCGGUUUGCAGGCAUUAAGUCAAAUCUGAUCAAGAAUAAAACACUUGGCCUUGAGUUCUGUGCAAUCCUGGACCAUUUGCUGAACAUGACACAGCCGGUGCGAUCCCUGAGACCAUGGAAAGGAUUGGAUGGAGUUGCAUAAAAAGGAGGAGACGGUGCCAAUUCAAAGGCAGCUCACUUGUUACUACAUCAGAAAUUGCAGUUCUACAUUUUAAUGUUACUAUCUGUAACGGUCUCAGCUUUGGCACUUCUGUGACACCUUAAUGCUUCUUUUUACAAAAUUAAUGUUCUGAGAUUGAAAGCACUCUCCUGUAGGGCACUGGGAGGUGUUAAGGAGAGGAAAGCAAGCUGAUGGAGAUCCUCCUGGCUGGGACUUGGCUGAAGCUGCGCCUGAGCUACCCCUGGAGACCAAGGUCUGCACAGAGCUCAUCGCCUUGCCUGUUGACUGAGUGCCAAGCAAGGAUGACAGCAGGAUCCUGAGAUCUGCCUGAUGGUGCUCUGAUGGAGCUCACUGUCUUGAUCUGAUACCUGAUCUGGUCUACAAGAGCUGUGCCUCGCUCCCCCCAACGUUGUACACCCAACAGGGCUACUAAAGCUGGGUGUUCUUGGCAGUAAAAGAGAAGAUACAGCUCAAACUUAUUGAAAUAGCCUGAAUGUGCUGAGUUUCUGGGCUAGCUACUCCAUAAGCCAUCUAAUUGGCAGGGCACUUGGGGAAGACUGAGAAUAUUCUUCCCAGCACAACAAGGAUGGAUUUUCUGGAGGUGGCUGGUUCUGUUCCCGUAGAGAUGAUUACUUUAAUACAAUAAAAAACGAACAAUAUGAGUUUGGGCACCUACAGCCCUAAAUA